ensembl:lncRNA
AAGCUUUUGUCGGACUUGUUGCUAAGACAACGAGCCAGUAAUCUCCAAACCUACUCAGGAGCAGUUUUGUUCAACGUAAACAAGAUUAGGAAAUACAUUUAGGUGCAUUAUAUACCGUGUUUUUUGUUUUGUUUGGAUUUAUAAUUAAGGCGCUUGCCAGACGCCAUUAUCCAGAGCGACUUCCAUUUAUCUCAUUUAUACAACUGAGGGUUAAGGGCCUUGCUCAAGGGCCCAACAGUGGACGCUUGGCAGUGCUGGGAUUUGAACCCACGACCUUCUGAUCAUUAAGCAAAUAUAGCGAAGGUUUAAUAAUAUAAUUGCGCACAUCGCUGUUCAGACCUCAGACAUAACGCCUGACUUGAGCACUAUUCAGACGUUGAGCAAGAGUUAUGCGCACAGGGUGGAGUUUCAGCAAACAGACGGGUUUUUACUCUGACCUUGGUUCUGACCUUGGACUCGGUCCCAUUUCUCUUACGUGAUAUCGGAUCAGAUCCAAUGCCACUGUCUGACAGUUUGAUGUAACCGCGAUAUGUCAGAGAAAUCUAUGGCAUGACAUUUGAGGCCAAAAUGAAAUGCAUAUCAUGGUUCUGUUAUAAUUAUUUAAUGAAUUGAUUAUUGGUAUCAUCCAUAAAGUGCAUUGUUGUUGUUGUUUUUUUUUUUUCCAACAUGGAGGACACUCUUCAUCGCUGCUUGUCUCAAGGACAGAAAUUUUUAAGGAUAAAAUUAUGAGCAAAUAUAUUAAAUGAGCUGAAAGCAUGCUGUAGCGGAUGAGUGUUUAUCCGCGGUCGGCUUAUCCUUCAUAUCGUGUUUUCUUCACAGGACAGUGAAUCAAUUCAAAUCAAUUUUAUUUGCAUAGCGCUUUUAACAAUAGACAUAAUCCUAAUCAGCGCAGUUUGUAAUCGCAUAUCGGCUCUCAAAAUGUCUGCGGUGCUCCUGCAGAAUUGAAUCGUUUUUUGUUUUUUUUAAAUGCGAGGACGUGUACGGCUUGCAAGUGUCGUGACGGAAAGAUGCGAGGAUGCGAGUUCUGCAGAUAUCUGUGGAGCACAAAUAAGG